rnacentral:rRNA from 1 species
GACGAACGCUGGCGGCGUGCUUAACACAUGCAAGUCGAACGGAAAGGCCCUGCUUUUGUGGGGUGCUCGAGUGGCGAACGGGUGAGUAACACGUGAGUAACCUGCCCUUGACUUUGGGAUAACUUCAGGAAACUGGGGCUAAUACCGGAUAGGAGCUCCUGCUGCAUGGUGGGGGUUGGAAAGUUUCGGCGGUUGGGGAUGGACUCGCGGCUUAUCAGCUUGUUGGUGGGGUAGUGGCUUACCAAGGCUUUGACGGGUAGCCGGCCUGAGAGGGUGACCGGCCACAUGGGGACGGAGUUACGGCCCAGAUUCUUACGGGGGGCAGCAGUGGGGAAUAUUGCACAAGGGGCGGAGGCUGGUGGCGGCAACGCCGGGUGCGGGAGGACGGCUUUCGGGUUGUAAACCGCUUUCGCCUGUGACGAAGCGUGAGGGAGGGUAAUGGGGAAAGAGGCACGGGCUACUACGUG